rnacentral:rRNA from 1 species
UGGGGAAUAUUGCACAAUGGAGGGAACUCUGCUGCAGCGACGCCGCGUGAGUGAUGAAGGAAUUCGUUUCGUAAAACUCUGUUCUAUGGGAAGAAAAGGACUGUACCAUAGGAGAAAGCUCCGGCUAAAUACGUGCCAGCAGCCGCGGUAAUACGUAUGGAGCGAGCGUUGUCCGGAAUUAUUGGGCGUAAAGGGUGCGCAGGCGGCUUUACAAGUUGGAUGUGAAAUAUUGUGGCUCAACCACAAACGUGCAUCCAAAACUGCAAAGCUUGAGUUAAGGAGAGGUAAGUGGAAUUCCUGGUGUAGCGGUGGAAUGCGUAGAUAUCAGGAGGAAUACCGGUGGCGAAGGCGACUUACUGGACUUAAACUGACGCUCAGGCACGAAAGCGUGGGGAGCAAACAGG